UACGGAGGAUCCAAGCGUUAUCCGGAUUCACUGGGUUUAAAGGGUGCGUAGGUGGAAUGACAAGUCAGUGGUGAAAACCUGCAGCUUAACUGUAGAACUGCCAUUGAUACUGUUAUUCUUGAGUACAUUUGAUGUGAGUGGAAUGUGUCGUGUAGCGGUGAAAUGCUUAGAUAUGACACAGAACACCAAUUGCGAAGGCAGCUCACAAAACUGUAAACUGACACUGAGGCACGAAAAGCGUGGGGGAUCAAACAGG
rnacentral:rRNA from 1 species